UACGUAGGGCGCAAGCGUUGUCCGGAAUUAUUGGGCGUAAAGAGCUCGUAGGCGGCUUGUCACGUCGGAUGUGAAAGCCCGGGGCUUAACCCCGGGUCUGCAUUCGAUACGGGCAGGCUAGAGUCCGGAAGAGGAGAGUGGAAUUCCUGGUGUAGCGGUGAAAUGCGUAGAGAUGUGGAGGAACACCAGUGGCGAAGGCGGCUUUUUGGUCUGUAACUGACGCUGAGGCGCGAAAGCGUGGGGAGCAAACAGG
rnacentral:rRNA from 1 species